rnacentral:snRNA from 1 species
GGCUUUGAGCAGUGACAGUAUCGUAGCCAAGGAGGCUUAUCCGAGGCGCGAUUAUUGUUAAUUGAAAACUUUUCCCAAAGUUA